UACGGAGGGCGCGAGCGUUAAUCGGAAUUACUGGGCGUAAAGCGCGCGUAGGCUGUUGUGUAAGUUGGGGGUGAAAUCCCACGGCUCAACCGUGGAACAGCCCUUGAUACUGCGCGACUUGAAUUCGGGAGAGGGUGGCGGAAUUCCAGGUGUAGGAGUGAAAUCCGUAGAUAUCUGGAGGAACAUCAGUGGCGAAGGCGGCCACCUGGACCGGUAUUGACGCUGAGGCGCGAAAGCGUGGGGAGCAAACAGG
rnacentral:rRNA from 1 species